UUUGUUCUCCGGGAAACUAUUGAUGGAAAAUUCUUAUUAAACUAGUUAUUAUAAUACAUACCAUAACAGCACAGAAAAAAUCGAUUACAAUACGGCUAGUACCUAUGUCAUUGUUAAUGUUAUAUGCCCACAAACUACACUGGCAACGCUCCAGGAUUUCAUGGAAGGUGUCAAAAAAUGGAGAAGGGAAGAAUUACAAUUGGGA